rnacentral:lncRNA from 1 species
ACUCAUCUAAUGGGCUCUGUAAUGAGUGAACUCCUUAGCAUUACUAAUUAGGUUAGGUCCUCACUCCACUCCUAUAUAUAUCCGCCUAUAGAGAAACCUUAGGAUAUCAAGAUCUCUAUGUUCCUAGGGCAGACCUAUCGUAUAGAGGAGACAGGCAUAAGGUGAAGACCUAUCACAUAAGGUGGUACAAUGAUCAUUAAUGACCGUUCAAGGAUUUCAAGAUAUGAUUGAUUAUUAUUAUUAUUCUUCUUUUAGGAUCUAUUGUUGAAUAAUCUUUGUGUUCUAAUCUUCUGCACAAGAUCCAUAAAGUUUUCCAUCAUAUCACACACCCUUCCAAACAUUGGUAGUGCCUUUUCAGUGCAUAAAUGGAUUGUAGGCAAUAGAUGAUGAAGAAGAACUUUUGCCAAGAAAAGUUCUAGCAUUCUUUUCAUCUAGCAUGACUAAGUUAAGGCAGAGAUGAACAUCAAGAUGACUGACUGAAUAUCUUUGAGGAAAUAAGACUUCCUCCAAGUAGUGCAAAGAUGAAUGACAGAUAUCUCGAGCAUGGACACUUCCAGCUUGGAACAAAGGGCCAUCCAAAUAUCAGUAAUAAAAGAUCAAUGAAUGAAGAGAUGGUUCUUAGAUUCAGUUGAAUCAUCACAGAGCACACGCCCACCCAAGGAUCUACCAAGCUUUUAGAGAGAUUUGCAUGAGCAUUUAAUUUGUUUAAGAGGGCAAGCCACAUAAAGCAUUUGAUUUUUGUUGGGCCAGAGAUCUUCCAUGAGGAGGAGCCAAGGCUCCACUUUACCCCCUCUUUAUAAGAAAGCUGUAACAGAAUGUUGUAAAGAAUGAACCGUUGCUGCAAGGUUUCCAAAUUGUAGAGUUUGAAUCCUAGUCCAGCUAAAUGUUAGCUAAGAGAGGCAAUAGAAAACUCAACUCAUCUUGGGUUCUUAGUGAGAGAGUGGUGGGGCA